rnacentral:rRNA from 1 species
GACGAACGCUGGCGGCGUGCUUAACACAUGCAAGUCGAACGGAAAGGCCCUGCUUUUGUGGGGUGCUCGAGUGGCGAACGGGUGAGUAACACGUGAGUAACCUGCCCUUGACUUUGGGAUAACUUCAGGAAACUGGGGCUAAUACCGGAUAGGAGCUCCUGCUGCAUGGUGGGGGUUGGAAAGUUUCGGCGGUUGGGGAUGGACUCGCGGCUUAUCAGCUUGUGGGUGGGGUAGUGGCUUACCAAGGCUUUGACGGGUAGCCGGCAUGAGAGGGUGAACGGCCACAUUGGGACUGAGAUACGGCGCAGACUCCUACGGGAGGCAGCAGUGGGGAAUAUUGCACAAUGGGCGGAAGCGUGAUGCAGCAACGCCGCGUGCGGGAUGACGGCCUUCGGGUUGUAAACCGCUGUCGCCUGUGACGAAGCGUGAGUGACGGUAAUGGGUAAAGAAGCACCGGCUAACUACGUG